rnacentral:rRNA from 1 species
UACGUAGGGGGCAAGCGUUAUCCGGAUUUACUGGGCGUAAAGCGCGUGUAGGCGGUUGCGUAAGUUGGUUGUGAAAUCCCUCGGCUCAACCGAGGAACUGCAGCCAAUACUGCGCGGCUUGAGUGGCAGAGAGGAAAGUGGAAUUCCCGGUGUAGUAGUGAAAUGCGUAGAUAUCAGGAAGAACACCCGUGGCGAAGGCGGCUCUCUGGAACGCAACUGACGCUGAGACGCGAAAGCGUGGGGAGCAAACAGG